UACGUAGGGGGCAAGCGUUAUCCGGAAUUACUGGGUGUAAAGGGUGAGUAGGCGGCAUGGUAAGCCAGAUGUGAAAGCCUUGGGCUUAACCCGAGGAUUGCAUUUGGAACUAUCAAGCUAGAGUACAGGAGAGGAAAGCGGAAUUCCUAGUGUAGCGGUGAAAUGCGUAGAUAUUAGGAAGAACACCAGUGGCGAAGGCGGCUUUCUGGACUGAAACUGACGCUGAGGCACGAAAGCGUGGGGAGCGAAUAGG
rnacentral:rRNA from 1 species